UCAACCGGCAUCUUCAGCUAUGGAGCAUGCGCACAGCUCAUUAUGACUGUGAGCAUGCGCACUGGGAGAGAUAUCCCGAAUGCAAUGGUCCUCCCUGAGAGCCACAAGCGAACAUUCAACAACUUGAAAACUGGAUGAAAAUGAGAGACAGAGCAGCCACUGCAGAAGCUUCCAAAAUCACUCUGCACGUUCUUGAACUGCUGCAAUCUGCGUAGUGAAGUAGCUCCCAUGUUGCAAUUUGGAAAUUUGAAAGGGAACAUUUACUGACAGGCAGCUCAACUCAAACACGGGAUCAAAAACUGCCAGGGACACGUAAUUCUCAGGAGCUUUGAACAUGGAAGGAACAAGCAUCGUUUACAGUGAAGAGAAACCAUACAUGUGGUCUGUGUGGACAAGCCUUCAGUCAGUUGUCUGGCCUGUCAGUACGUAAAUGCAGUCAAAACAGGGUGACAACAAUGACAUCAAGCAGCACUUGCUUUGUAAUAUCAUAGUGAUGGAUCUCAGUUUGAGUUAAGCAAGGGCCACUCAUCUCCUCUCCUCCCUACAUUCUUGGUGCAAACAUGGACCAAACAGCUGAAUUCCAAAUGUGAGAGUGACUAUCCACUAUCUUAAGGCUCCAUUUGACAGAGCAUUGUAUUAAGGAAUCAUGACAAAGUUAAGUUCAAUAGGAACCAGAGAAUAUUAUUCUUCCAUGGAUAGCUGGUUUUUAAAAAAACAUUGUGUCUUCAGACCUCACUGGAUUGAAACAAGAUAUUCAUGCAUUUAGGAUGAUAUUCGCAUUUUUUUGGAACUUAAAAGAAGAAACAGACACUGGGGCAUGAUGGGUGUAAUCGGCAGAAUAACGCUAAUGGAAACAGGAAUGGAUGAUAUUGUCAAAAUCCGACCAAGCUGGGCCAGUCCAGAAAAGCAAAAUGCUGGAGAUUAUGGAAAUUUGAAACAGAAACAGAAAUUGGUGGAGAUGAGGCAACAUCUGGAGACAGACUUUGAGUUAACAUAUCUAGUCUGUUAUGAACCUGUUCUGAAAAAGUCAUAUUACAGAUGCUGCUGGACUGGAUAAGUUACAUUCCAGAAUUUCUUUUCUUUCUUUUGGACUGUCACAAUUUGUCUGAUCUGGAUCAGAACAAUAAAGCUGCCAUUUGAGUUGACCUUCAAGUAUUUGUGAAUGAUCAUUAAAUGAGUCAUUGCAAAGUUUCCGCAUUAAAGAUCCCUAAUAUUGAUGCCAUGUCGCAUUGAGAUAAAUUGCCAAGAAUGGAUUGAACUCAGUGCCACUGAUAUCGCAUGGUCAGUCCUCUGAUUGAAAACGAUGAGGAUCCUUACCACAAUGUCAUGCCAUGCUCCUGAUGUUGCUGGGCUUACACUCAUUUGGCAAAGUCUUACCUUCCAAGACUUUAGACUCAACUUUGAAACCAUAAAGUAUCUUGAUAUUCUUAAUAAGACACACUCAUCCAUGCAUUUUAGCAGGCACGAGCAAGGACAAUGUUUAUUUUUCAUCAAGAGCUCUAGAGAACGUAACAUGAAGCUGCCUUCCUGAAAGGCUUCCAAUCCAAGUGGUGCAGAAGUACACACAGAACUGUUUAUAAGGGGUUCCAAGAUUGUGCAGGAUUGUCUCCAAUUUGCAUUGAUCACGUUUUUACUUCGGGUCCAUGAUGCCAUAAUGAGUGAAGUAGCAUGGGCGGCAUGGGAAGUUACUCUGAUCUCACUUCAAAUGAUAUUGGAACACCAGCUGAAACAAUAAAGAGUGAAAGUACAGAACACUGUGCUCACUGUCCUCACAAAAUUCCGAAGAAUUUUCAGUAUAGACUUGCAAUUCUGUCAGGUGAUGUUUGUCCUAUUUGUGACGAGGCUAUUUGGUGUCUGAAAUGUACUGCUUAGGAGGAUAGCUGAGGCAGGUAACAUGCCAAACUAUAAAAAGCAUUUGGAUCACCUGGUAGUGCAGUCUCAAUGAGAUUUUUCUCAAUUGUCUGAUUCUAUGUGGUAGCAGCCAUGAAAGGCCUGAUAUAUUCCAAAGUACUAGCCAAUGGCACUUGUUUGUCUGUUCCAUCAACUGUGUUCAGAAAGUUUUUUUCAAAACCGCAUCUCUCAUAUAGUAUCAGCACUCACUCAACCUGGGACUGCCCAGCUGUCUCUGAAAACAUCCAGCUUUUUUCAAAUGGUCAGUGCCAGAUUAUUCCAGCUGUUAAUCACCGUUAUUUUAAUGAAGCUAAUAAAAUGGAUACAGCUUUCCCUUCAUUAGAAUAAUGUAUUUUAGCU